UACGGGGGGAGCAAGCGUUGUUCGGAUUUACUGGGCGUAAAGGGCGCGUAGGCGGCGCAACAAGUCACUUGUGAAAUCUCCGGGCUUAACCCGGAGCGGCCAAGUGAUACUGUCGUGCUAGAGUGCGGAAGGGGCUACUGGAAUUCUCGGUGUAGCGGUGAAAUGCGUAGAUAUCGAGAGGAACACCUGCGGCGAAGGCGAGUCCCUGGACAACGACUGACACUGAGGCACGAAAGCUAGGGGAGCAAACAGG
rnacentral:rRNA from 1 species